UUAACAUAGAAACAACUUUUUUUUUUUAAUGGAAAAAACGAAACAUAAACACAACAAAGAUGGAUUAGAUUAUGAUCACCUGAAUUUUUAUUACAACCACUCGUCACUCACUCCCCAUACUAACGCAAACAAUGCAACAUACAUAAACCAUACUUAAGAAGUUAUCAUAAUUUAUUAUUACGAAAAUGAAACGACAAUUAAAGAUCAAAUCACUUGAGGAAACCUUGAGCCAUCUUGGCAUAACCUCCAAUCCCACCACCAGACUCUUCAUCGUCUUUCUUAGCUGCCGGCUGCGGCGGCUCAGUCUGACUUGUUGGCUCAGCCUGACUCGCAGGAGGAGGAGUACCACCGGCGCCGGUGGAGUGCGACGACUCGAAGUCGUGGAGGUACUUCUCGGCCUUGUCGAGGUACUGACCAGUGCUAGUCUUUUCAUCGAACUUACCGUAUUUCUCGGCAGCGUCUAAGAUAUCAGCGGAGGCUCCGGCGACUUUACCCUUGUCGAGUUUGUCUGAUUCGUUACGAGCUGCGGCCUGAGCAGCUUCAGCUACAACCUUGGCACUCGCCAUGAGCUCGGCGUUGGAAGCUGGUCUAGUGGCUGUUUCG
rnacentral:lncRNA from 1 species